GCGGAGAGGGAAUAUACAUCGUGACUGGAGAAAGUGAGGCAGAGGAAUGUAGAGCCUAGAUUGGGUGUGAAGUCGGAUUUGAAGUUAAGGCCGCCAGAUCUGCAAUAGGAGCUUAAGAGGAAGGUUUAUGGCUACUAGCCUACUACUUGCAGGAACCAAUAGAGGAACAAUGGGAGUGGAAUCUUUUGAAUGAAUACCAUCAAUUGUAAAACGUGAAUCGAAGAUGAAGGCUUGAAGAAGUCCACGCCU
rnacentral:lncRNA from 1 species